rnacentral:lncRNA from 10 species
GAGAAAUGUGACUACAUUAGAAGCUCUGCAGAGGCAGAUAUUCAGAGCUUGUUCAUCCCCGUACCCCAAUGCCCAGGAACAGUGCCUGACACGUCCUAAGCACAUGAUAAAUAUCUGUUGAAUUAAAUCGAAUGUUAGGUGAAUGCUGAAGAACGAAGUUGGAUCUGCUAUUGUCCUCGCAUUCUCAUGGAUCUAAAGGCACCAGGGGCGUGAUGAGAGCUUAGCUGAAAGGAGAGAAGACUCAGCAAGCACAUCACCUUGAAGCUGACCUGUCAGCCAGAUUUCGCAGCACCUGCCUGUUCCAGCCUGAGGGGCUGCGAUUCAUUCCUUGGGAAAGAGAGCUGCAAAUUCCCGCUCUAGGCCACAGUCCAAAUCCUUGCUCUUCUCUCUCAGGUUCUGGAAGACAGAAUGGAGGCAUCUACAGAGCAAGGACAUGUUUUCUACCUGAAUUAGCUUUUCUGACACCUUCAAACCAUCUCUAAGAAAUUGAUUUUUUAACAUACACAUAUACAGGUAAACAUUUAAAUCUGUGCCAUAAUGUAUUUGCACUUCGAGUCCCCCUGAAGUCCUAAGUCACAUGCUUCUCUUCCUAGGGGUUCUGUCUGAAGCAGAGACCCCUGGAUUGGAGCAGUGGGAAGAAUCCUGAUGAAUCAGGUGUUCCUGCCUGUUUACAUUAACUGGGCACCCUGCCUGCCCACCCCACAUGCUGAAUACUGCUGGGGAGAAGAGAAGAAACAUUUAUUAAAGGCAAGGAAAAAUUAGAGCCUUUUCAUUGAGGUCAGAAGAUUUUUGAGGUUGGAUCGGCUGGCCAGGUGCAUGACCAAUUUUCUUGGCUCCUUAGAAGCAGCAAAGUAUUUGAAAAAUAAUGGAGCCCUUCGUCCUACAAGUAAAAGCCCAUUUAUAUUGGGAAUUUUUUAAAAAGUGCUGGCGAUGGAAAAUUUCCGAUGAGAUGCAUUUCUUCCUGCCUGAAUGUCUUGAAUGCCUGCUGGAUUUGUCUCCCUGCUAAGACACUCACACUUGCAAAUCUGUGCUUUUCAAGGUGGGGAGAUGAAAAUAAAAAGUCUGUGAGAUGUAUUUCUGGGAGGCCUGAAAACAGGAAGCAAAUUGGAACCACAGCAUGUGGGGCACGGAUGCUGGAUUCUGGGGGAUAUUUGCUUAUUUGGAAAGGCUGCAAACAUUCCAUCCUACCCACUGCUAGGAGCUCUGCACUUUGCUAACGUCCCAUGGAAACCAAGGUUCUCUUUAGGACUCGACAGGACUGGGUUAUUUUUCUCAGCUUAAAUUGUUUUUAUAUGGUUAUCCUCAGUACUCUUUUCUGUUUUGGGAUAUUUUCAUACUUUUUAUUUUUUAAAAACCCCAGAAUAUCUUGAUUUUGAAAAGGUACAUUCACCCAAAUAAAGUGCCCAGCGCAUAGACAAGGCUGCCUCAAUAUUUCACGUGUCAACAGCCAAUGCCCCCAGUACGUGCAGAAAAGCCUGAGAACAAGGAAGGAAGAAAAGGGUCUGGUCCUUGCUCUGCGGGUAUUUAAGCAUUUCUCAGCCCCCUCCUCUGACUUCUCAACUAUGUUCACCUAUAUGGCCUCGAAUGGAGAGAACUGGGGUUAUAAAAGAG